rnacentral:rRNA from 1 species
GACGAACGCUGGCGGCGUGCCUAAUACAUGCAAGUAGAACGCAGUUGCGAACGGGUGAGUAACGCGUAGGUAACUGCCUCAUAGCGGGGGAUAACGAUUGGAAACGAUAGCUAAUACCGCAUACUGUGAGAGGGACCUGCGGUGUAUUAGCUAGGUGGUGAGGUAAAGGCUCACCAAGGCGACGAUACAUAGCCGACCUGAGAGGGGGAGCCGGCCCAACUGGGAUGGGGCACCGCCCCGGCCUCCACGGGGUGGCACCGUUGGGGAACUUCGGCAAUUGGCGGAAAUCCUACCCAGCCACGCCGCGUGAGGGGAGAAGGUUUUCGGAUCGUAAAGGUCUGUUUGUAGAGAAGCGGUAACUAACCAGAAAGGGACGGCUAACUACGUGCCAGCAGCCGCGGUAAUAC